AGUGGCGGACGGGUGAGUAACGCGUGAGAAUCUGCCUUGGGGUCGGGGACAACCACUGGAAACGGUGGCUAAUACCGGAUAAGCCGAUUGGUGAAAGAUUUAUUGCCCGAAGAGGAGCUCGCGUCUGAUUAGCUAGUUGGUGAGGUAAGAGCUCACCAAGGCAGCGAUCAGUAGCUGGUCUGAGAGGACGAUCAGCCACACUGGGACUGAGACACGGCCCAGACUCCUACGGGAGGCAGCAGUGGGGAAUUUUCCGCAAUGGGCGAAAGCCUGACGGAGCAAGACCGCGUGAGGGAGGAAGGCUCUUGGGUUGUAAACCUCUUUUCUCAGGGAAGAAGCUCUGACGGUACCUGAGGAAUCAGCCUCGGCUAACUCCGUGCCAGCAGCCGCGGUAAUACGGAGGAGGCAAGCGUUAUCCGGAAUUAUUGGGCGUAAAGCGUCCGCAGGUGGCGAUUCAAGUCUGCUGUCAAAGCACGGGGCUUAACUCCGUAAAGGCAGUGGAAACUGAAUAGCUAGAGUGCCGUAGGGGUAGAGGGAAUACCCGGUGUAGCGGUGAAAUGCGUAGAGAUCGGGAAGAACAUCGGUGGCGAAAGCGCUCUACUGGACGGCAACUGACACUCAGGGACGAAAGCUAGGGGAGCGAAUGGGAUUAGAUACCCC
rnacentral:rRNA from 1 species